UCUUCACAUUGUAUAAAAAGGAGCCAGUUC
rnacentral:piRNA from 1 species